rnacentral:rRNA from 1 species
CGGGGUGCACCAGGCGCGAAAACUUUACAAUGCUGGCAACAGCGAUAAGGGGACCUCGAGUGCCAGGUUACAAAUCUGGCUGUCGUGAUGCCUAAAAAGCAUUGCAUAGCAAGGGCCGGGCAAGACCGGUGCCAGCCGCCGCGGUAACACCGGCGGCUCGAGUGGUAACCGUUAUUAUUGGGUCUAAAGGGUCUGUAGCCGGCCGGAUAAGUCUCUUGGGAAAUCUGGCAGCUUAACUGUCAGGCUUUCAGGAGAUACUGUCUGGCUCGAGGCCGGGAGAGGUGAGAGGUACUUCAGGGGUAGGGGUGAAAUCUUGUAAUCCUUGAAGGACCACCAGUGGCGAAGGCGUCUCACCAGAACGGACCUGACGGCAAGGGACGAAAGCUAGGGGCACGAACCGGAUUAGAUACCCGGGUAGUCCUAGCCGUAAACGAUACUCGCUAGGUGUCGGCCACGGUGCGACCGUUGUCGGUGCCGUAGGGAAGCCGUGAAGCGAGCCACCUGGGAAGUACGGCCGCAAGGCUGAAACUUAAAGGAAUUGGCGGGGGAGCACAAGGGCGAAUUCGCG